rnacentral:rRNA from 1 species
GACGAACGCUGGCGGCGUGCUUAACACAUGCAAGUCGAACGGAGAGGCCUCUUUCGGGGGGUACUCGAGUGGCGAACGGGUGAGUAACACGUGAGUAACCUGCCCUUGACUUUGGGAUAACUUCAGGAAACUGGGGCUAAUACCGGAUAGGAGCUCCUGCUGCAUGGUGGGGGUUGGAAAGUUUCGGCGGUUGGGGAUGGACUCGCGGCUUAUCAGCUUGUUGGUGGGGUAGUGGCUUACCAAGGCUUUGACGGGUAGCCGGCCUGAGAGGGUGACCGGCCACAUUGGGACUGAGAUACGGCCCAGACUCCUACGGGAGGCAGCAGUGGGGAAUAUUGCACAAUGGGUGGAAGCCUGAUGCAGCAACGCCGUGUGCGGGAUGACGGCCUUCGGGUUGUAAACCGCUUUCGCUCAUGACGAAGCUUUGCGUGACGGUAGUGGGUAAAGAAGCACCGGCUAACUACGUG